UACGGAGGGUGCAAGCGUUGUCCGGAUUUAUUGGGUUUAAAGGGUGCGUAGGCGUCCGUUAAGUCAGUGGUGAAAUCCAGCAGCUCAACUGCUGAACUGCCAUUGAUACUGGCGGACUUGAGUACGGACGAGGUAGGCGGAAUUUAUGGUGUAGCGGUGAAAUGCAUAGAUACCAUAAAGAACACCGAUAGCGAAGGCAGCUUACUAGACCGUAACUGACGCUCAGGCACGAAAGCGUGGGGAGCGAACAGGAUUAGAUACCCCCGUA
rnacentral:rRNA from 1 species